AGAGUUUGAUCAUGGCUCAGAAUCAACGCUGGCGGCGCGCUUAACACAUGCAAGUCGCACGAGAAAGUGGAGCAAUCCAUGAGUAAAGUGGCGUACGGGUGAGUAACACGUGGGUAAUCUACCUCUUAGUGGGGAAUAACCUGGGGAAACCCGGGCUAAUACCGCAUAAGCUCGAGAGAGGAAAGCAGCAAUGCGCUGAGAGAGGAGCCCGCGGCCGAUUAGCUAGUUGGGAGGGUAAAAGCCUACCAAGGCAAAGAUCGGUAGCCGGCCUGAGAGGGCACACGGCCACACUGGCACUGAAACACGGGCCAGACUCCUACGGGAGGCAGCAGUGGGGAAUCUUGCACAAUGGGGGCAACCCUGAUGCAGCGACGCCGCGUGAGCGAUGAAGCCCUUCGGGGUGUAAAGCUCUUUCGGCAGGGAAGAUGAUGACGGUACCUGCAGAAGCAGCUGCGGCUAACUACGUGCCAGCAGCCGCGGUAAUACGUAGGCAGCGAGCGUUGUUCGGAGUUACUGGGCGUAAAGGGUGUGUAGGCGGUUCUUUAAGUUUGGUGUGAAAUCUCCCGGCUCAACCGGGAGGGUGCGCCGAAUACUGAGGGACUCGAGUGCGGGAGAGGAAAGUGGAAUUCCUGGUGUAGCGGUGAAAUGCGUAGAUAUCAGGAGGAACACCGGUGGUGUAGACGGCUUUCUGGACCGUAACUGACGCUGAGACACGAAAGCGUGGGUAGCAAACAGGAUUAGAUACCCUAGUAGUCC
rnacentral:rRNA from 1 species